rnacentral:rRNA from 1 species
GCAUUUGGUAGCUUGCUACUAGAGAGGGCGGCGUACGGGUGCGUAACAUGUGUGCAACCUACCCUUAUCAAGGGGAUAGCCAUUCGAAAGGAUGAUUAAUACCCUAUAAUAUAUCAGGUGGCAUCAUUUGAUAUUGAAAGCUACGGUGGAUAAGGAUGGGCACGCACAAGAUUAGCUAGUUGGUAAGGUAACGGCUUACCAAGGCGAUGAUCUUUAGGGGUCCUGAGAGGGAGAUCCCCCACACUGGGACUGAGACACGGCCCAGACUCCUACGGGAGGCAGCAGUGAGGAAUAUUGGACAAUGGGUGGGAGCCUGAUCCAGCCAUUCCGCGUGCAGGAAGAAGGUCUUAUGGAUUGUAAACUGCUUUUAUAUAGGGAUAAACCUACUCUCGAGAGGGUAGCUGAAGGUACUAUAAGAAUAAGCACCGGCUAACUCCGUGCCAGCAGCCGCGGUAAUACGGAGGGUGCAAGCGUUGUCCGGACUUAUUGGGUUUAAAGGGUCCGUAGGCGAGUUAUUAAGUCAGUGGUGAAAUCUCAUAGCUCAACUAUGAAACUGCCAUUGAUACUGAUAGUCUUGAGUAUAUUUGAAGUGGCUGGAAUAAGUAGUGUAGCGGUGAAAUGCAUAGAUAUUACUUAGAACACCAAUAGCGAAGGCAGGUUACUAAGAUAUUACUGACGCUGAGGGACGAGAGCGUAGGGAGCGAACAGGAUUAGAUAGCCUGGUAGUCUACGCUGUAAACGAUGCUAACUCGUUUUUGGUAUUUAGGUAUCA